rnacentral:snoRNA from 1 species
ACCAUCCAGCCUCCUUACCCCUCAGAUCUAACUAUUGGUCUGAGUGGCUGAAAAAGGAGGAAAAGUAGAAUUGAAGUGGACUUGGAGCCUUUAGUGACAUACGACUUCAUUUCAACUAUGA